rnacentral:rRNA from 1 species
ACAUCCAGAGAAUUUAGCAGNGAUGCUUUAGUGCCUUCGGGAACUCUGAGACAGGUGCUGCAUGGCUGUCGUCAGCUCGUGUUGUGAAAUGUGGUUAAGUCCCGNAACGAGCGCAACCCUUAUCCUUUGUUGCCAGCACGUAAUGGUGGGAACUCAAAGGAGACUGCCGGUGAUAAACCGGAGGAAGGUGGGGAUGACGUCAAGUCAUCAUGGCCCUUACGAGUAGGGCUACACACGUGCUACAAUGGCGCAUACAAAGAGAAGCGACCUCGCGAGAGCAAGCGGACCUCAUAAAGUGCGUCGUAGUCCGGAUUGGAGUCUGCAACUCGACUCCAUGAAGUCGGAAUCGCUAGUAAUCGUAAAUCAGAAUGUUACGGUGAAUACGUUCCCGGGCCUUGUACACACCGCCCGUCACACCAUGGGAGUGGGUUGCAAAAGAAGUAGAUAGCUUAACCUUCGGGAGGGCGUUUACCACUUUGUGAUUCAUGACUGGGGUGAAGUCGUAACAAGGUAAGCGUAGUGCU